UUUUUCUAUUUUCCUUUUGCGUUCACGUUUACCCUUUCUUUUCUUCGUCCAUCACCCAUUUAUCUCGAGAAAGCCUGCUAAAAUUCCUCGUUCCACUUUUUCCUUUUCAAAUCCCUAAAAACUUCUUUUCAAAUCCCACAACUAAAAGCCCUAGCUUGUCUAUCUCGGAAAUUUGAAAGUAAAGGAAAAUUAGAAAUUAGCCAUGAGUUCACGAGGAGCUGCUAGCGUUUUGCUCUCAAGGGCAAACAGGAUCAAGCAGAAGUUACAAUCUUCACUAGAAGCAAGCAUUCUAGAAGUAGAAGACGUAUCAUACCAACACGCAGGUCAUGCUGCUGUUAAAGAUAAUGCAGAAGAAACCCAUUUUAAUGUGAAGAUUGUCUCAUCCAAAUUCGAUGGGCAGAGCCUUAUGAAGCGUCAUAGGAUGGUUUAUGAAUUGCUGAACGACGAACUUCAAUCAGGGUUACACGCAAUUUCAAUCGUGGCUAAAACUCCACAAGAAACUGGUAGAGGUUAAGCUUUAACCAAAAACUAUCAAGAAAGAACUCAUAUCGCGUUUAGUCUUUUCUCUCAUUCAAACCCGUACCGUAUUACGUAAUUUGUUGGCUCAAUCACCUGAUAUUUUGUGAAAUCAGUAUAUUCAAUUGUCUGUUUUGUUUAAUAUAGUGCUUAGAACCUUCAUUCAUAUCUCUCUCUGUGUCUGUCUUCAUUUUUCCUUUUAUGUUAUAAGGGUUCACAGUAGCUUCAA